GUGCCAGCCGCCGCGGUAAUACGAACCGUCCAAACGUUAUUCGGAAUCAUUGGGCUUAAAGGGUACGUAGGCGGCGCUGUCAGUCGGGUGUGAAAGCCCUCGGCUCAACCGAGGAAUUGCGCCCGAUACUGCAGUGCUUGAGGGAGACAGAGGUAAGCGGAACUGAUGGUGGAGCGGUGAAAUGCGUUGAUAUCAUCAGGAACACCAGUGGCGAAAGCGGCUUACUGGGUCUCUUCUGACGCUGAGGUACGAAAGCUAGGGGAGCGAACGGGAUUAGAUACCCCGGUAGUCCUAGCUGUAAACGCUGAGCACUUGAUCGAGGAUCCCCCCAUAGGUUCUCGGUCGUAGCGAAAGUGGUAAGUGCUCCGCCUGGGGAGUACGCACGCAAGUGUGAAACUUAAAGGAAUUGGCGGGG
rnacentral:rRNA from 1 species